rnacentral:rRNA from 1 species
UGGGGGAUAUUGGACAAUGGGGGGAACCCUGAUCCAGCGACGCCGCGUGAGUGAAGAAGUAUCUCGGUAUGUAAAGCUCUAUCAGCAGGGAAGAAAGAAAUGACGGUACCUGACUAAGAAGCCCCGGCUAACUACGUGCCAGCGGCCGCGGUAAUACGUAGGGGGCAAGCGUUAUCCGGAUUUACUGGGUGUAAAGGGAGCGUAGACGGCAGGGCAAGUCUGGAGUGAAAGCCCGGGGCCCAACCCCGGGACUGCUUUGGAAACUGCCAUGCUGGAGUGCUGGAGAGGUAAGCGGAAUUCCUAGUGUAGCGGUGAAAUGCGUAGAUAUCUGGAGGAACAUCAGUGGCGAAGGCGACUAUCUGGCACAUAACUGACGCUGAGGAGCGAAAGCGUGGGUAGCAAACAGG